rnacentral:tRNA from 1 species
UCCCUAGUGGUCUAGUGGCUAAGAGUCUGUGCUCCCAAUGCAGGGGCCUGGGUUUGAUUCCUGGUCAGGGAA